rnacentral:rRNA from 1 species
AUGAUAGACGACUUUGGGAAGGCAUCCGGCUUUUGCACAAACCUAGCGAAGUGCUCUGCACAUCUCAUCAGAUGCAGUCCGAAGCAGAUGGAUAUAGUUCCGGAGGAGCUCAAAUGCCAAACCCUCCCAUUCCCAUGCACAUACCUUGGCCUGCCACUUGGGCUACCCAAACCGUCCCCAGCUCAACUGCAGCAUUUGGUGGAUAGGGUGGCCGACAAGUUACCAAGUUGGCGAGCCUCUCUACUACACCGGAGUGGCAGAUUGGUGUUGGCAAAAACCACCUUGACAGCAAUGCCGGUGCACGCAAUGCCGGCACUUGACCUGCCUGCCAAAACAAAGUCCCAACAAAGUCCCUACUAUAAAAUACCGCGGAAUGGCAUGUGGUGGGGCUUGAAGAAACACAAAGUCCCAACAAAGUACAUUACCCUCAUCAAGGACAUGUACGAUAAUGUUGUGACAAGUGUUCGAACAAAUGAUGGCGAAACUGACGACUUCCCGAUUAAAAUAGGACUGCACCAAGGAUCCGCUUUGAGCCCUUAA